CUAUUAUGUUGUUUUAGAGUCAGUGACUUGUAAAAACAACAAUGAAGAUGUAAUAAUGAAGACAGACUAUAAACAUUUGCCUUGCACAAAGAGAAAACUUAGAAAUAAGGAGAAGGACAGAGACCAUGACAGAGGUGACAACACAAGGAUAAAGAGAGCAAGAGAGAUAGGACAAGAGGAUACUGACAGGCCAGAAGGAGCUGACAUUCAGGGAGCUGCUGAUGUUUUCAGAUUUUUAGAGAGCAAAGGUGAGUAGAAGAGAGAGGCUGCAGAGCUGUUCUUCACUUGUUGAGGACAAUCUUAAACUUUCUCAGCAGAC